CUGGCAGCCUCAGAACUCUAAUGUUCUGUUCAGAGUCUGUCACCACCAGAACAGGUACAACACAGAGGGCAACAAUGCAAGCUUUUCAUAUGUUCUCUGUCAAUAUGCCUCAAAGCUGAGCUGGGGCACCGCCUCUAAGGAUGAGAAGAUAGUUCAGUAGCUGUAUCUAUUCAGUCCCUACUUUCC
rnacentral:sRNA from 1 species